rnacentral:rRNA from 1 species
UACGGGGGGGGCAAGCGUUGUUCGGAAUUACUGGGCGUAAAGGGCUCGUAGGCGGCCAACUAAGUCAGACGUGAAAUCCCUCGGCUUAACCGGGGAACUGCGUCUGAUACUGGAUGGCUUGAGUUUGGGAGAGGGAUGCGGAAUUCCAGGUGUAGCGGUGAAAUGCGUAGAUAUCGGGAGGAACACCCGUGGCGAAGGCGGCUUUCUGGACCACUACUGACGCUGAGGCACGAAAGCCGGGGGAGCAAACAGG